AUUAAACGCUGGCGGCAUGCCUUACACAUGCAAGUCGAACGGCAGCACGGGGGCAACCCUGGUGGCGAGUGGCGAACGGGUGAGUAAAGCAUCGGAACGUGCCCUGGAGUGGGGGAUAACGUAGCGAAAGUUACGCUAAUACCGCAUAUUCUGUGAGCAGGAAAGCAGGGGAUCGCAAGACCUUGCGCUCUGGGAGCGGCCGAUGUCGGAUUAGCUAGUUGGUGGGGUAAAGGCCUACCAAGGCGACGAUCCGUAGCGGGUCUGAGAGGAUGAUCCGCCACACUGGGACUGAGACACGGCCCAGACUCCUACGGGAGGCAGCAGUGGGGAAUUUUGGACAAUGGGCGAAAGCCUGAUCCAGCCAUGCCGCGUGAGUGAAGAAGGCCUCGGUUGUAAGACUCUUC
rnacentral:rRNA from 1 species